AUAUUGAUAAGAAAAGCAUGAAUUAUGCAAGAAAAUUACCUUUUGCAUUGGAGUUGAAAUUGUUGUUUUUCUUAAAAAAAAAACAAUUUUAUUAUUAACACAUAAUUCUCUAGCAACUUUUCAGCACAAUAAAGAUUUUUCUUUGAUGGUUAAAAACACGUUGCCAACGUUUGUAACUUUUUAUAGCAUUGUAAAAAAAAAAUUGAAAAAAAAAGAGAGAUUGACCCGCUGGUAUCGCUAGCAAGCUGACAAAGGCCAAAAUUGAGAUGAAAAGGCAAAAGGAGACAACAGCAAGUUAUGUCAUGUCCUUGAUCUGGAAGCAGUUGAUCAACGGAUUAAAUUAUGACAGUAAUGAUGAUGAAAUGCAAGAGUACAAAUAGUGAAGAAAAAAUUAACAAGAAGGUUUCUUUGUUGCACAUUGAACAAAAUCCAGGGAAGUGUCUUUGAAGGGUCUAAUAUUUUUACUACCAAUCUUGAGUUCGGGGGUGAUUAGAAAUGUAAUAGAAAUUACUUUUUAAAAUGUUUUUUUUACUUGUAAAUGUAUUUAAAUAAUAUUAUUUUAUUUU